UCGUCUGCAGCAUUGUGUGUGCGAGGCACCACCUCAGGCCCAAGGCAAUAAUCAUUUCACAGAAAAUGCACCGCCCCGAGUGUCUUAUUGCUGUGAUGAAAUGGAAAUUUAAAUAAAAGGUCGAACACGUGCGUUCACUGGGAAGUAUUGACAUGGGUGUUACAUCACCACCAGCCAAUCAGAUAACUCCAGUCGUGUUUAUACUUCUACAACCACCUUGUCUUCCUGAUAUAUAUAAAGAAAUAUUAAGGUCUUCCUCUAAACCUUAAGGGAGAUGGAAUCAAAAUCAAAGUUCAAGAGGAUAGUAAUCACAAACGUCUCAAAACAGCUCUAAGUAAAGAUAUUGAACUAAUGUUUCCAUCGAAUUUACAUUAAAAACAAUAAUCAUAUACAUACA